UUUUGCAGAACAAAUGAUAUCUGUUUGCCUUAAUCUUUCCUAUGCAGGUUAUCCAGGACAUUCUGGACUGUGAAUGAAAAGGAAAAAGACAGAAAGAUGGAAGCAGAGAAAGUAGAGAAAAGACAGGAAAGAGAAGAGGAGGAAGCAGAGGACAAGAGGCAGCAGCCCAGCUCAAUUUAUCCAGAAAGAAAUCUUUCAUAUCUCUGACUGUGAAGUGCAAACCACACUCCAGAAUUUCAGAGCUUGAUUAGAGGAAGGAUGGUCCAGCAAGGGAUAGAAUGGUUGGCUUUCCUUGAAUAUUACUAAAGAGUGUCCCUGGUAAGACUAAACAUUACCAAAUCAACCUGCCAUCAUGGUUAUACCCAAAGAUAAAAAGUACAGAAGCCAUCUGAGAUGAGAGAGAUCAGAAAAAGAUCAACUCUUCCUCAAUCCCAGGAUGUGCAGAGCCAUCCCUUUCUAAUUACCUCACAAGGGACCCAGAACCAUUAACCAUCAUCCCCUCCAAACGCUGCCCCUCCCCCCAACUGGGCGCUGACCAAACAGGAACAAAGGGAAAAGGCAAGAUGUAACCACAAGCUUUAAGCCUAUGGCAUUAUUAUUAUAACCAGUAGGAGAAGAUUUUCGACUACCCUUGUAAAAAACUUAAUAAAUAUAUUGAAAAGAACU
rnacentral:lncRNA from 1 species